rnacentral:lncRNA from 1 species
GCAGGAGUAGUGAGGAAGAAGAGCCCAAGACGAAGGAGAUGAAGCUGUGAAGCACACAGAAGAGAAGUGUCGACUCCACCAUCAGCCCAACGAACGAGCCCUGGCUAUUUAAGGCCGUUCCUAAUGAACAUUUGCAGCGCUGCAUGGGUGUUGGGGUUGUGAGCGAGACGUGUGCGGUUUUACGACGCAUCAGCGCUUCCCUGUCUUUAACUAUGGUGAGGGAUUAGGGCAGCAUCAAUAAGACCAUUCUCAAUGCAAGUUUCAUUCUCAUUAAAUAACAUGCCACAUAUGCAAAAGCGAUGACAUGGCAUGGAAUUUAAGAGGAAAGAGAAGAAUUGGAUUUCACAGGGAUGAAACUAGGUGUACACAGUUAC